rnacentral:rRNA from 1 species
CCUACGGGUGGCAGCAGUGGGGAAUAUUGGACAAUGGGGGAAACCCUGAUCCAGCAAUGCCGCGUGUGUGAAGAAGGCCUGCGGGUUGUAAAGCACUUUCGGUUGGGAAGAAAAGUUUGGCGCCAAUACCGCCGAACCUUGACGUUACUGACAGAAGAAGCACCGGCUAACUCUGUGCCAGCAGCCGCGGUAAUACAGAGGGUGCCAGCGUUAAUCGGAAUCGCUGGGCGGGACGCGUGCGUCGGUGGUCAAAUCCCCGGGCUUAACAUGGGAACUGCACUCGAUACUACAUGGAUAGAGUAUGGUAGAGGGAAGUGGAAUUUCCGGUGUAGCGGUGAAAUGCGUAGAUAUCGGAAGGAACACCAAUGGCGAAGGCAGCUUCCUGGACUAAUACUGACACUGAGGCACGAAAGCGUGGGUAGCAAACAGGAUUAGAUACCCCAGUAGUC